rnacentral:rRNA from 1 species
UACAGAGGGUGCGAGCGUUGUCCGGAAUCACUGGGCGUAAAGGGCGCGUAGGCGGCCCGGGAAGGUUGCGGUGAAAGCCCGGGGCUCAACCCCGGGUCGGCCGUGGCAACUGCUGGGCUGGAGCACAGUAGAGGCGGGUGGAAUUCCGGGUGUAGCGGUGGAAUGCGUAGAUAUCUGGAAGAACACCAAAGGCGAAGGCAGUGUCCUGGGUGGUCGCUGACGCUGAGAGGCGAAAGCCAGGGGAGCGAACGGG